UAAUACGGAGGGUCCAAGCGUUGUCCGGAAUCACUGGGUGUAAAGGGUGCGUAGGCGGGCUAGUAAGUCAGGGGUGAAAGCCCGCGGCUCAACCGCGGAACUGCCCUUGAUACUGCAAGUCUUGAGUCCUGGAGGGGCUGGCGGAAUUCGUGGUGUAGCGGUGAAAUGCGUAGAUAUCACGAGGAACACCGGAGGUGUAGACGGCCAGCUGGACAGGUACUGACGCUGAGGCACGAAAGCGUGGGGAGCGAACAGGAUUAGAUACCCUGGUAGUCCACGCUGUAAACGAUGAGUGCUCGAUGCUGCACCGAUUGGGGUGCAGUGUCUAAGCUAACGCGUUAAGCACUCCACCUGGGGAGUACGCUCGCAAGGGUG
rnacentral:rRNA from 1 species